UCUUUAUUAAAAAUUAUUUAAUAGUUUAAUAUUUUAAGUAUAAUUAAUUAAAAUUUAAUUUUAUUGGGGUGAUACAUAAAUUUAUAAAACUUUAUAUAAUAUAAACAUUAAUUUAUGAAUAUUUGAUCUUAAUUUUUAAAAAAAAGAAUAAGU
rnacentral:rRNA from 1 species